GGCGAGAUGGCCGAGCGGUCUAAGGCGCCAGACUAAGGAUCAACACUUGUGAAGUGUAAAUAAUAUAAUCUGGUCCGAAAGGGCGUGGGUUCGAAUCCCACUCUCGUCA
rfam:Moniliophthora roreri strain MCA 2952 kmer90.95836, whole genome shotgun sequence.